rnacentral:rRNA from 1 species
CCUACGGGAGGCAGCAGUGAGGAAUAUUGGUCAAUGGCCGGAAGGCUGAACCAGCCAUGCCGCGUGAAGGUCAGUGCCCUAUGGGCGUUAAACUUCUUUUGUGCGGGAGCAAUAAUGGUCACGUGUGGCCAGACGAGGGUACCGUACGAAUAAGCAUCGGCUAACUCCGUGCCAGCAGCCGCGGUAAUAAGGGGGAUGCAAGCGUUAUCCGGAAUUAUUGGGGUUAAAGGGUGCGUAGGCUGGGAGGUAAGUCAGCGGUGAAAUGCCCCCGCUCAACGGGGUGAAGUGCCAUUGAUACUGGCUUGCUGGAAUGCGGAUGCCGUGGGAGGAAUGUGUGGUGUAGCGGUGAAAUGCAUAGAUAUCACGCAGAACACCGAUUGCGAAGGCAUCUCACGAAUCCGCGAUUGACGCUGAUGCACGAAAGCGUGGGUAUCAAACAGGAUUAGAUACCCUUGUAGUC